GCGUGAGGGAAGACGGCCUUCGGGUUGUAAACCUCUUUCAGGAGGGACGAAGCUACUCGGGUGAAUAGCCCAGAGGGUGACGGUACCUCCAGAAGAAGCCCCCGGCUAACUACGUGCCAGCAGCCGCGGUAAUACGUAGGGGGCAAGCGUUGUCCGGAUUUACUGGGCGUAAAGAGCGUGUAGGCGGCCAAACAGGUCUGUUGUGAAGACUGGAGGCUCAACCUCCAGACGUCGACAGAAACCGUCUGGCUAGAGUCCGGAAGAGGAGAGUGGAAUUCCUGGUGUAGCGGUGAAAUGCGCAGAUAUCAGGAAGAACACCGAUGGCGAAGGCAGCUCUCUGGGACGGUACUGACGCUGAGACGCGAAAGCGUGGGGAGCGAACAGGAUUAGAUACCCUGGUAGUCCACGCCGUAAACGAUGGGUGCUAGGUGUGGGAGGUGUCGACUCCUUCCGUGCCGCAGCUAACGCAUUAAGCACCCCGCCUGGGGAGUACGGCCGCAAGGCUA
rnacentral:rRNA from 1 species